rnacentral:rRNA from 1 species
UGUGAAGAAGGCCUUCGGGUUGUAAAGCACUUUUGUCCGGAAAGAAAACUUCGUCCCUAAUAUGGAUGGAGGAUGACGGUACCGGAAGAAUAAGCACCGGCUAACUACGUGCCAGCAGCCGCGGUAAUACGUAGGGUGCGAGCGUUAAUCGGAAUUACUGGGCGUAAAGCGUGCGCAGGCGGUCUGUUAAGACCGAUGUGAAAUCCCCGGGCUUAACCUGGGAACUGCAUUGGUGACUGGCAGGCUUUGAGUGUGGCAAAGGGGGGUAGAAUUCCACGUGUAGCAGUGAAAUGCGUAAAGAUGUGGAGGAAUACCGAUGGCGAAGGCAGCCCCCUGGGCCAAUACUGACGCUCAUGCACGAAAGCGUGGGGAGCAAACAGGAUUAAAUACCCUGGUAGUCCACGCCCUAAACGAUGUCAACUAGUUGUUGGGGAUUCAUUUCCUUAGUAACGUAGCUAACGCGUGAAGUUGACCGCCUGGGGAGUACGGUCGCAAGAUUAAAACUCAAAGGAAUUGACGGGGACCCGCACAAGCGGUGGAUGAUGUGGAUUAAUUCGAUGCAACGCGAAAAACCUUACCUACCCUUGACAUGGUCGGAACCC